AUAAGCACUCCCACUAUUAUUCAUCGCAUUUCUAAGUUAUUAAGACAACACUCCCACUAAUUAAAAUUGGUACAGACAAUAGAGUAAAUAGAGUAAUCGGACCAGGAGCUCUUGAUUCCCCUUGCAUGGAUGCCUCAAUUGUGUCAUUAUUCUUAUCUUGGAAAGACAAGUAGCUUAAUUGAAUGGCUACUCAGCUCAAGCAAGAAAUGAAACGGAAGCUUAAAUUUCUUCCUUGUUUGGAGCAAUGAAAACAAGCUGAAAGCUGCCACCAUGGUCACGGUUUGAGAAGAGAAAGAAGAAUAAGGAGAAAUAUAUGAA
rnacentral:misc_RNA from 1 species